rnacentral:lncRNA from 1 species
UGAGUUUUAGCCAUUUAUUUGAUUAAAUUCCAGUUGUGCUGUCUCCCUGCAGAUUCAUGUCCCUUGCUGGGGAACUCUACUGCCAGCAGAUCUUGGCCUACAACCCUUUCUCUCCAAGAGGCACAUUCCCCAGGGCAGACCAGAGAGAGUUUUGAAGACCAGGGAGAAGGAGAAAGCAUCACCAGAAAUAGCAGUUUCCCAAUGAAACUUUAUCUGAACUUUUUGAAAGGGAGAGCGCUCCCCUAAUGAACAUAGAUCAGCAAAGGUAGGAGGACUUUGGAGGCACAAAGACCUGGUUCAAAUCCCAAGUGUCAGUUGAAGCUGUCCCUUCUCUGAGAUCCUUCUUUCCUCAUCUUGGAAAUG